rnacentral:rRNA from 1 species
AUUGAACGCUGGCGGCAUGCUUUACACAUGCAAGUCGAACGGCAGCGCGGGCUUCGGCCUGGCGGCGAGUGGCGAACGGGUGAGUAAUGCAUCGGAACGUGCCCAGUAGUGGGGGAUAGCCCGGCGAAAGCCGGAUUAAUACCGCAUACGACCUGAGGGUGAAAGCGGGGGUCCGAAAGGCCUCGCGCUAUUGGAGCGGCCGAUGUCGGAUUAGCUAGUUGGUGGGGUAAAGGCUUACCAAGGCGACGAUCCGUAGCUGGUCUGAGAGGACGACCAGCCACACUGGGACUGAGACACGGCCCAGACUCCUACGGGAGGCAGCAGUGGGGAAUUUUGGACAAAGGGGGCAACCCUGAUCCAGCCAUGCCGCGUGCGGGAAGAAGGCCUUCGGGUUGUAAACCGCUUUUGUUCGGGAAGAAAUACUCUGGGCUAAUACCCCGGGGGGAUGACGGUACCGGAAGAAUAAGCACCGGCUAACUACGUG